rnacentral:lncRNA from 1 species
GUGAACUAUGUGAUGAACACGCUGUUAUCGAUGAACAUGGUGAUUGCGUUCAUCAUGGCAGUGGUUUUGGACAAUACUGUACCUGGGAGUAGGCAAGAACGUGGUGUUUAUGUUUGGUCUGAUAGUGAGACUGUGACGAGAGAACCAGCACUUGCUAAAGACUAUGAGCUGCCGUUUAGAGUGGGAAGGUUUUUCAGAUGGGUCAAAUGGGUUGGCAUUUGAAUGAAAAAAACUCAAUGGCAAAGUGGUAAAUAAUUAGAUUUUCUUUUUGUUUUCUUUUCCUCUGUUUUUUUAGUCUCUCAGUUUUAUAAAACACCUUGGAGUUUUCUUGGAUCGCAAGUUUGUUUGUUGAACAGAGCACGUGGAAUUGGAUGUUGUUGUUGUUGUAAGUUAUAUGGACUAUUAUGAGCAAUCCUUUUAUAACUAUAUUUAGUUAUUUCUUUCACUUUUACUAAAUACUAGAGAUUUUUUCCGUGCUUCGUGCGGAUUGUGUCUUAUAAAAUUAUAUUAUUUAUAAUAUUAUUUGUCGGUUUUUUUCUUUUACAUUAAUUUCUUGUUUUUUUAAUGUUAGUUUUUCUUAAUUUAAAUUUAUAUGUUUAUAAUUUUUCAUUUUUCUUGUUGUAGAUGGGGAAUUAUAUUUUUUAUUGAUGGUUUUUUGUAUGUGACAUAAACUUUUUGAAAUUUUAAAAUAAUGUUAUAUAUAGUACGAUAAACACAUUAAAGAAGAUAAACAUAUUCAUGCACAUUUUACACAGGUUUUAUAUGCAUAAUUUAAAACAUUAUAUAUGUAUAUAUUAUAAGUUUGAAACAUGUAAAUGCUUUCUAAAGCUAAAUACUUAUUCUGAGUUUACAUAACUUAUCAACAGUUUUAUCUCUUUUUAAAUUCAAAUCACAGAAAAAAAAUAUUAAAAAGUUAGUAUAGAUGGGUUUUUUAGGCUUUUAAAUCAACACUCCUGCUUACUUCCAGCAAUAUGGCGUUUCUCCAAACUCGAACCUCUCUGUUCCAAGUUAUUACCAGCCUUACAUUGUUGCUUCUCAUGGACCCUUCAACAGCCAAUAUAAAGGGGUACGUUUACGCUUUUGCCUUUUUCAAAAUGUAAAUCUCAGGAGAGUAUUAGUAAACUUGUGUAAGAGUUUUGUGCAGGUGAACUAUGUGAUGAACACGCUGUUAUCGAUGAACAUGGUGAUUGCGUUCAUCAUGGCAGUGGUUUUGGACAAUACUGUACCUGGGAGUAGGCAAGAACGUGGUGUUUAUGUUUGGUCUGAUAGUGAGACUGUGACGAGAGAACCAGCACUUGCUAAAGACUAUGAGCUGCCGUUUAGAGUGGGAAGGUUUUUCAGAUGGGUCAAA